rnacentral:rRNA from 1 species
UACGGAGGGUGCAAGCGUUGUUCGGAAUUACUGGGCGUAAAGCGCGUGUCGGCGGUCGGGUAAGUCAGAUGUGAAAGCCCCCGGCUUAACCGGGGAACUGCAUUUGAAACUGCCUGGCUCGAGUUCGGGAGAGGAGAGUGGAAUUCCUGGUGUAGAGGUGAAAUUCGUAGAUAUCAGGAGGAACACCGGUGGCGAAGGCGGCUCUCUGGUCCGACACUGACGCUGAGACGCGAAAGCGUGGGGAGCAAACAGG